AGAAUCAACGCUGGCGGCGUGCCUAACACAUGCAAGUCGCACGAGAAAGUGGAGCAAUCCAUGAGUAAAGUGGCGUACGGGUGAGUAACACGUGAAUCAUCUACCUUCGAGUGUGGAAUAACUGAGAGAAAUCUUAGCUAAUACCGCAUAAUACCUACGGGUCAAAGCAGCAAUGCGCUUGAAGAGGAGUUCGCGGCAGAUUAGUUAGUUGGCGGGGUAAUGGCCCACCAAGACGAUGAUCUGUA
rnacentral:rRNA from 1 species